GGGAUAAAAUGGCACCAAAAGGGGCCAAAAUGGUGACGUAAAUGGGAGACAAAAUGGCGGCCGUGGAAGGGGGACAAAAUGGCGGCCGUGGAAGGGGGACAAAAUGGCGGCCGUGGAAGGGAGACAAAAUGGCGUCGGUGGGUGACAGUAAAGACGUUUUAACCCCCAAAAAAUGCUUCUUUUUGCUUUUUUCUUCUCGAUUUUAUGGCAAUUUUGGGUUAAUUUGGGGGAAAAUUGGGUAUUUUGAGGGAUAUUGUGUUACUUUGGGGAAAAAUGGGUUAUUUUGUAGGGAAAUCAGGUCAACUUGAGGAAAAAUGGGAUAUUUUGGGGUAAAUUGGGUGAAAAUGGGGUAUUUUGAGAGAAAAUGGAUAAUUUGGGGGGAAAAUAGGAUUAAUUUGGUGGAAAAUUGGGGUUAUUUUGUGGAGAAAAAGGUGAAAAUGGUUUUAUUUUGUAUGAAAAUGGUUUAUUAAAAGUUUCUUUUACAGCGUUACCAAAAACCCUUUGUUUUAUUGUGGAUUUGUUUAGGCCUCACCCCAUCCCUGCCCCCCCAACCCCACCCCACACCUCAUAUAUGGGUCAAAAAGGGGUUUGGGGGGGGGGGUCUUGGGAUGGGUUUGGGGUUGGGGGGGUUUGGGGGGGGGGUUUGGGGGUGAAUAUGGGGGUGGGUUUGGGGUUGGGGGGGGGUUGUUGUAUUGAGGGGGGGUCCCCGCUACGUGCUGUGCUUCUGUCUCUUCCAGAAGCGUUUGACGUCGGGGUGACCCGCCGGGGUGACCACCAUGAGACGCCGGGUCGGGUUCUCAAACACCAACACCCCCAAAGAUCUGGCGUGGUCACGAAGGACCUCGAAAUCCACCUGGGACAGGAACUGGUUGUACAGCACCCCUGGGUGAUAAGGGGGGGGGGGGAAGAGAGAUAAGGGGGGGGUGAGGACAGGAAGAGAUGGGCCCAAGCCAUAGAGGUGGCCAUAAUGGCGGCACUAGGCCUCAGAUGGGCCCAAUGAUGGCCCCAACCCAUAGAGAAGGCCUUAAAGAUGGCGCCACCCCAUAGAGAUGGCCCCAGUGGUGGCACUAGGCCUUGGUAGGCCCCAAUGGUGGCACUAGGCCUCGGUAGGCCCCAAUGAUGGCACCAGGCCUUGGUAGGCCCCAAUGAUGGCACUAGGCCUUGGUAGGCCCCAAUGGUGGCACCAGGCCUCGGUAGGCCCCAAUGGCGGCACUAGGCCUUGGUAGGCCCCAAUGGUGGCACUAGGCCUUGGUAGGCCCCAAUGGUGGCACUAGGCCUCGGUAGGCCCCAAUGGCGGCACCAGGCCUUGGUAGGCCCCAAUGGUGGCACCAGGCCUCGGUAGGCCCCAGUGGUGGCACUAGGCCUCGGUAGGCCCCAAUGGCGGCACUAGGCCUUGGUAGGACCCAGUGGCGGCACUAGGCCUUGGUAGGACCCAGUGGUGGCACUAGGCCUUGGUAGGCCCCAAUGGCGGCACCAGGCCUUGGUAGGCCCCAAUG
rnacentral:lncRNA from 1 species